ACGGAAGGCAGCAGUGGGGGAUAUUGCACAAUGGGGGAAACCCUGAUGCAGCGACGCCGCGUGAGUGAAGAAGUAUUUCGGUAUGUAAAGCUCUAUCAGCAGGAAAGAUAAUGACGGUACCUGACUAAGAAGCACCGGCUAAAUACGUGCCAGCAGCCGCGGUAAUACGUACGGUGCAAGCGUUAUCCGGAUUUACUGGGUGUAAAGGGAGCGUAGACGGCAUGGCAAGCCAGAUGUGAAAGGCAGGGGCUCAACUCCUGGACUGCAUUUGGAACUGUCAAGCUAGAGUAUCGGAGAGGUAAGUGGAAUUCCUAGUGUAGCGGUGAAAUGCGUAGAUAUUAGGAGGAACACCAGUGGCGAAGGCGGCUUGCUGGACGAUAACUGACGUUGAGGCUCGAAAGCGUGGGGAGCAAACAGGAUUAGAUACCCUGGUA
rnacentral:rRNA from 1 species